GGGAUCUGCCGCUCUGUGGUCCAGUUGGUCAUCUGCAGGUGCAGUCUCCAGCAAACGAUCACAAGCUCUUUAAGAUGUGCCUGGGCUUGGGGGGACCUGUCUCGCGGGCUUUUGUGGAACCUUCAAUUCCUGGAUUGUAAAGCAGGGCUGCAGGUCUCCUGGGAUGAGCUCCAGCCAAGAGGAAAAGCACGCCACAUGUCCCCUGACGACCUGAAGAUGAAUCCUGACUGCCUGGACAUGCCUGGGCGGGUGUACCCAUGGCCUGUGGUUGAACCAGCCACACCUUGUCUCUUGGCCAGAGAUUUCUCACCCUUAAAUAAAAGGGCACGCAGUGGCAUGGAACCACGCUGACACCUAUCACUGUUAAACGAGGCCAGGACACAGUCUGAUCUCCAUCUCCACUUUUUGUUGUUGUUAAAUGAAACGGAAGAGCAUCUCCCUGCAGAAGUAAACCACGCACAGAGCCCUAAUGACAUCAUUGCUUCAGCCCCUGGAUCCAGCCAGGCCUGAAGCAGGAUAACCCUGGACUUCCCAGUGAGGUGAGCC
rnacentral:lncRNA from 10 species